ACGAACGCUGGCGGCAUGCCUCACCCAUGCCAGUCGAACGAGACCUUCGGGUCUAGUGGCGCACGGGUGCGUAACGCGUGGGAACCUGCCCUUAGGUUCGGAAUAACUCCCCGAAAGGGGUGCUAAUACCGGAUAAUGUCUUCGGACCAAAGAUUUAUCGCCUUUGGAUGGGCCCGCGUUGGAUUAGCUAGUUGGUAGGGUAAAAGCCUACCAAGGCGACGAUCCAUAGCUGGUCUGAGAGGAUGAUCAGCCACACUGGGACUGAGACACGGCCCAGACUCCUACGGGAGGCAGCAGUGGGGAAUAUUGGACAAUGGGCGAAAGCCUGAUCCAGCAAUGCCGCGUGAGUGAUGAAGGCCUUAGGGUUGUAGCUCUUUUACCCGGGAUGAUAAUGACAGUACCGGGAGAAUAAGCUCCGGCUAACUCCGUG
rnacentral:rRNA from 1 species